UACGAAGGGGGCUAGCGUUGUUCGGAAUUACUGGGCGUAAAGGGCGCGUAGGCGGUCUUGUAAGUCUUGUGUGAAAUCCCUCGGCUUAACUGAGGAACUGCACGGGAUACUGCGAGACUUGAGAUCGGGAGAGGGAAGCGGAAUUCCGGGUGUAGCGGUGAAAUGCGUAGAUAUCCGGAGGAACACCGGUGGCGAAGGCGGCUUCCUGGACCGACACUGACGCUGAGGCGCGAAAGCUAGGGGAGCAAACGGG
rnacentral:rRNA from 1 species